AGAACGAACGCUGGCGGCGUGGAUAAGACAUGCAAGUCGAGCGAGAUUUUUCUUGUAGCAAUACAGGGAAAAGUCUAGCGGCGAACGGGUGCUUAACACGUGGGCAACCUGCCAAGAAGUGGGGGAUAGCUCGCCGAAAGGCGAAUUAAUACCGCAUGUGAUCAGAGUGGACAUCCAUUCGAAAUCAAAGUCGGGGCAACCUGACGUUUCUUGAGGGGCCCGCGGCCUAUCAGCUAGUUGGUGAGGUAACGGCCCACCAAGGCUAAGACGGGUAGCUGGUCUGAGAGGACGACCAGCCACACUGGGACUGAGACACGGCCCAGACACCUACGGGUGGCAGCAGUCGAGAAUUUUUCUCAAUGGGGGAAACCCUGAAGGAGCGACGCCGCGUGGAGGAUGAAGGUCUUCGGGUUGUAAACCUCUUUCAGUAUCGACGAAGCGCAAGUGACGGUAGGUACAGAAGAAGCACCGGCCAACUACGUGCCAGCAGCCGC
rnacentral:rRNA from 1 species